rnacentral:rRNA from 1 species
AUGGCGGAGGAACCGUCCGCCAAGCGUCAUCAUGCCGAGACGUCGGACAAGAGGAGCAACCUCGUCGACAUUAACGUCCCCGGCGAGAAGCGCGAGUACACAACAACCCUCAAAGGGAUGGAGCUCCACGGCAACGAGACGCUGGAGAUCGUCUGGACCAGCGUACCAGAAAAGGCCAACGAGGUGAUCUCCAGGCUCUGGAUGAAGCUUGGCGGCAGGUUUCGUAGGAUUGUCGGUGUUGGUGUGCACUACACCAACGAAGAUGAACCUCCCCAGAUGGCAGCAGUCCCGCAGUUGUGUGUCGAAGAACUCUGCUUGGUGUACCACAUCGCAGCGGCCACAAAAUGGCCCAAGCGCCUGACCGAGAUGCUGCAGCAUGAGAAGUUGUUCACAUUUGCCGGUUUCAGCAUUGAAAGCGACAAAGAGAAGCUGAAGUUGUCCGGUAUGGAGAUCAACCCCAACAAGUUCAUCGACAUUCAGCGCAAGUGGAGAGUUCGAUACACCGGAAAAGAGUACGACUCCUUGACUGAUGUUGCAGCCAGCGUCAUCCACCCAUUCUACAAAGGCAUGAAGAACAAGAUCAACACGCAGGAAGACUACAAACUGUGGGGGACCAGCGAGCUGCCAGACAACCUCAUCGAGUACGCAGGAGUAGAUGCAUACGCCGCGUACAAGUCAUGGUUCAUGAUCGACUACAUCACAGACGAUUGGGAAUAUGCGAAAGGUCGGGAGGCUGAAAACUUCUACGACCGCCCCUAUUGUCCCUUUACGGGAUGA